rfam:Dipodomys ordii contig_54432, whole genome shotgun sequence.
GGGAAUAUGGCUUAGUGGUAAAGUGCUUGCCUGCAUGCAUGAAGCCCUGGGUUCAAUUCCUCAGUACCA